rnacentral:rRNA from 1 species
AUUGAACGCUGGCGGCAGGCCUAACACAUGCAAGUCGAGCGAGCGGCGGACGGGUGAGUAAUGUAUGGGGACUGCCCGAUAGAGGGGGCUAACUACUGGAAACGGUAGCUAAUACCGCUUACUAUCGGAUAACCCAUAUGGGAUUGGCUAGUAGGGGAGGUAAUGGCUCACUGAGGCGACGAUCCCUAGCUGGUCUGAGAGGAUGAUCAGCCGCACUGGGACUGAGAAACGGCCAAGCCUCCUACGGAGGCAGCAGUGGGGAAUAUUGCACAAUGGGCGCAAGCCUGAUGCAGCCAUGCCGCGUGUAUGAAGAAGGCCCUAGGGUUGUAAGGUACUUUCAGUCGGGAGGCGUUACCGACAGAAGAAGCACCGGCUAACUCCGUGCCAGCAGCCGCGGUAAUUC